rnacentral:misc_RNA from 1 species
AAUUCUCAACCAUGAACUUUGAGAUCAUGGCUUGGAGUUGGAAGUUGCUGGCCGGAAGGUCAGCUCUUCUUAAACGGAUUAGCGAUCGAGUUGGCUAGUCUUUGACGUACACGGCCUUGGACGUGAUAAUGAUCGUCCUGGCUGGAGCGUCUCUUUUGUAGACUAUGCACACGGAUGGCUUCUAAUAAGAAUGGUCGAGCGAGCUUAGCUAUUAGGCAGUCUGCUGUUUGUUAAGGCAAGGCAAGGCUGGCGAACGCAAGCGCAAGCGCAAGCUUGAAUUAUGGACCAUGAUCAGCG